CUAUUUUCUUCUCUUCUUCGUUUCCUCCGUUAAGAAUUCUUUCCUAGGAACAAUCAAUUCUCUCCCCACUCUUCUUCACUCUUUAAUCCCAUUAAUGGUUUCUUUUUGUUUUCUCCCUCUGAGAUUCUAUAUAAGAUCUCAUUCUCUGUGUUUUGGUUUUCAUCAGAAGUUCUAAAAUCCUCUCCACUGCGCUUUCCGAUGAAGUUCUCCGGUGUUCCCGACUCAGUAAAACAGAACGGGGAAGCGGCGGUCCCCUCAACUCCGGUUAAAUCCGUGGUCCAAACCGGUGUCUCUUCCGGCGACGUCAGCUCCAAAAGAAGUAGCGGCGGUCUCCUCCGGUCCCGUCAAACCAGUCGUCCAGACCGGUGUCUCUUCCGGCGAUGUCACCUCAAUGAAGUCAAAAGGCGUAGCGGCGGUCUCCACUUUCAUCGUUAUGGUCCUGCUGGGUAUGUACUUUUCAUUGAUGUGUACGCUGGCCUUGAGGCAAGGUGGAAGCUUAAUGUUGGCUAAUGGCUACAACUCUUGCUUGGGACAGUGAACUGUCUUGGACGCUAGAGAAUGCUAUUGAAGCACUUCAGGAGACUAUGCAUCAGGUAAACAUAGAACAUAUUCUGCUUUAGGUUAUUGUAUGGUCUUCACACUAACGAGAACUUUGUUGUGUUGUUACUUCUGUUGUGAUGAGGUUAUGAAGGGAGUCUCUAGGAGUAUCUGUUCUUAGCAAGAAUCAUGUUCCCACUAAAGGAGCGCAUUACCUUGCUGUAGAGAAGUCUUUGGAGCGACUGAUUAAGCGAAAAUUUCAUCUCUUAGCAAAGUGAAGGGCAUCAUGCUUAUCAAUUCUAUCUGAAACCACCUGGUGCACAAGCUUUUAUCGGGAACACGGUAUGAUUUCGAAGGCUUUAAUUUCCUAUGAGAGCCUGAGGUUGUGAUUGCACCAGGUUUACAGCUUUAGAUGAUUGCUGUUCUGUUCUUUAACCAUGGGAGAUUGCGUCAUCGGAGCUUCAUCAAUAUUUUUGGAAGCAUUGCAAUUAAUUUGAGAACAAACCUUCACAAAUUUGGGUCAUAAAAAGGAUAAUGAUCGAGGAGAGAUGCCGUUGAAGCUUCUUAUACAGUUUCAGACAUGGAGAGCUAAUAGCAACUGUUGAUGAAAUGAAAAUACUAAGAAAAAAAUAAAAAUAUAAAGGUGCCAGCACGUCACUCCAAUGUUUGAAUAAUUGUCUUUAGAUCAGGCUCUGUAUUCUUAAAUGAUUAUCUGUCAAGUGUUUUUCUUUAUUUCGGCAGGAUGAAAAAAGCGUAUAACUGUUUUUGCAACAUGCUCUUCAUAUCAAAGUUAGACAGGAGCUAAGUGAUGGUAUGUAGGGCUACUUGACUCCAUGUUCAGGGGAGACUCGCCUGCCUAUAUUCAAGCCCCCAAUGGAGGGUCUGGAGGACAACUUGACCAACUAAGUCAUCUGAGAUCACUGACCUAGAUCAGAGUUUUCUUCUAAUGGAAAUAAUUUACUAAACUCAUCGAUUGUUACUUUGAAGAUAGAAGAAAAACAACAUCUUUUUUUUUUUGGCAAACAGAAAAACAACAUCUAAUAGUCUAUUUCCCAUGUUUAUAUUUUAUUUUUGCAGACACUAUAUGUACACGACAAAUUCUUUAGAUCCAAUCUAUU